rnacentral:lncRNA from 1 species
UUGAAUGACUGAGCUAUGGAGACGGCCGCUGUCCUGAAAGCCUCCGUGCUCACUUCUCCUUGGUACCUGAGCUCCAAGACCUUCAGAGUGGUGCAGCAAGGACCACAGACCAGGCUGCCCUAGAGAAACUGCAGGUUCCGAACCCUGGGCACAGAGAACUCUGUUGGAACCCAGUCUUUUUGAUGCAAGGAUCAGACCAUGGGCCAAGACAUCAGGAGAGCCAGGAAGCCAGCAGGGUUCAAUCCUGACUCCCCAACAAUCAAAAGUGGUCCCACCCCUCUGGCCUUGGCUUUCCUGGCUACAAAAGUGGAUCAUGAUCUUCCUACCAAAUUGGGCAGAUGCUCUGAACAGAGUGGCCCGGAGAACCCUAUGGCUUCAGCCCAGACUCCUACUCCAACCUUCCCAUGCUGCUUACCUUGCUGAUGUCGGAAGAUCUGGAGCGCCCCCCCUCAGCGUCACUCAAGGCCUUGGUGAUGGCGAAUUGCAGCGCCAGGCCAGUCAUGGUGCCCGUGGACAGCGGCUGGAUGCGGUGCACAGCCUGUAGCAGCGACGCCUUGGAGGUGUGGGCCCGAAGUGGGAACUCCGGCUUGACAGUGCUGGCGUAGUUGACCAAGCCCACCCUCGUGGCAUUGGGCCCCACAUCCAGUGACUUAAUGACCUGGGACAGGAACACCUUCACCUUCUCAAACUCCACGGGUCUCACACUGCGAGAACUAUCAACAACGAAGAC